rnacentral:rRNA from 1 species
CGGAACGGGUGAGUAACGCGUGAGGAACCUGCCUCAAAGAGGGGGACAACAGUUGGAAACGACUGCUAAUACCGCAUAAGCCCACGGCUCGGCAUCGAGCAGAGGGAAAAGGAGCAAUCCGCUUUGAGAUGGCCUCGCGUCCGACUAGCUAGUUGGUGAGGUAACGGCCCACCAAGGCGACGAUCGGUAGCCGGACUGGGAGGUUGAACGGCCACAUUGGGACUGAGACACGGCCCAG